rnacentral:rRNA from 1 species
AUUGAACGCUGGCGGCAUGCCUAAUACAUGCAAGUAGAACGAGUGGCGGACGGGUGAGUAAUGUCUGGGAAACUGCUUGAUGGAGGGGGAAAACUAAUGGAAACGGUAGCUAAUACCGCAUACCAUCGGAUGUGCCCUGAUGGGAUUAGCUAGUAGGUGGGGUAACGGAUCACCAAGGCGACGAUCCCUACCUGGUCUGAGAGGGUGACCAGCCACACUGGAACUGAGACACGGGCCAGACUCCUACGGGAGGCAGCAGUGGGGAAUAUUGCGCAAUGGGCGCAAGCCUGAUGGAGCAAUGCCGCGGGUGUGAAGAAGGCCUUCGGAUUGUAAAGCACUUUCAGCGGGGAGGCGUUACCCGCAGAAGAAGCACCGGCUAACUCCGUGCCAGCAGCCGCGGUAAUUC